rfam:Gossypium raimondii Chr10_contig_31, whole genome shotgun sequence.
UGUUAAAAGUUUUAUCCAUUUCUAUUGUUGAAAAUUGGCAUGGGUAACAAAAUAAUCAAAUAGUUACAUGUGGCGUGCCACGUGCACCUCAUUCUGACAUACAAGGACUAAUUUCUAAUAGUAGAAAUGGAUGGAUUUUUUAACA